GAUGAACGCUAGCGGCAGGCCUAACACAUGCAAGUCGAACGGUAACAGAGAUUGCUUGCAAUCCGCUGACGAGUGGCGCACGGGUGCGUAACGCGUAUAGAACCUACCCUUUACAGGGGGAUAGCCCGGAGAAAUUCGGAUUAAUACCCCAUAGAACUAUUUAAUGGCAUCAUUUUAUAGUUAAAGUUUCGACGGUAAAGGAUGGCUAUGCGUCUUAUUAGUUAGUAGGUGAGGCAACGGCUCACCUAGACAGCGAUAAGUAGGGGCCCUGAGAGGGGGAUCCCCCACACUGGUACUGAGACACGGACCAGACUCCUACGGGAGGCAGCAGUGAGGAAUAUUGGACAAUGGUCGAGAGACUGAUCCAGCCACGCCGCGUGCAGGAAGACGGCCCUACGGGUUGUAAACUGCUUUUUUACGGGAAGAAUAAUACCCACGUGUGGGUAGAUGACGGUACCGUAGGAAUAAGGACCGG
rnacentral:rRNA from 1 species